AUGNGCGAUCUUCCGCGAUGGUAUUAGAUACCCAAGCCGCUUUGGGGAAUUAUCAAGACCUGACGGUACCCGAAAAAAAAGCCUCGGCUAACUCCGUGCCAGCAGCCGCGGUAAUACGGAGGAGGCAAGCGUUAUCCGGAAUUAUUGGGCGUAAAGCGUCCGCAGGUGGUGUUGUAAGUCUGCUGUCAAAUCCGGAAGCUCAACUUCCGACCGGCGGUGGAAACUGCAAGACUAGAGUACGGUAGGGGUAGAGGGAAUUCCCAGUGUAGCGGUGAAAUGCGUAAAGAUUGGGAAGAACACCGGUGGCGAAAGCGCUCUACUGGGCCGUAACUGACACUGAGGGACGAAAGCUAGGGGAGCGAAUGGGAUUAGAUACCCCAGUAGUCAAGGGGAAUUUUCCGCAAUGGGAUUAGAUACCCAAGAAU
rnacentral:rRNA from 2 species